rnacentral:lncRNA from 1 species
AUUUUUCCAUGUUGAGCUACACAACAGGAUGAUUGUUGUUGGCAUCUUGUUAUGACAAAGAAAUCUCAGAACAGUACUGUGACAACAGGUCAUCUAUGAACAACAUAAUGCUGUCACAUGGAGCGAGGUUAUCACCUGGUCAGUGGUCACUUGGACAGUAGGUCCCACUCCAUGUGCAUGUUCAGUUAACAGCAUAAUCUAUGAAUAAACUGCCUUGCCCAGCUGGAUACGACUGCAGAGGUCCAACCAUGAACAGUUGGGGCAAAAAUGGACACAAUAUUCGAGCUAGAUACAGGUCUGAAUUUGGAUUGUAAUUAUAUAUUUGACACAUAAUGGGUUUCUGAC